rnacentral:lncRNA from 1 species
ACCACUGCCCAUGGCUCCUAAAUUUAUUUUUCUAAAUGCCACAUAAAAACAUUAAAAUGGCACAUAUUAUGGGGUGAUGUGUGCUGUUUCAUACAUGUUCCCACUGUGAAAUACUCUGAUCAGGUUAAACACUUGUCUUCUCAAACAUUUAUCUUUGCUUUAUGGUGAAACCAUUCAAAAUCCUUUCUCUUAGCUUUUUGAACUAUACAUUACGUUUUCAUCUGAAGUCAGCAUAAAGUCUAAUUCUUAGACUUUUAGCCAGUCCUCUCAUGUGUGCUUCACCUCUAUCCCCCACUCUUGCAAGUACAUGGCAUCACCAUUCUCUGGGUUUGGCGGAGCUUUUUCCCUGGCAUUGGGAUCCAGCAUUUAGUAGUCAGGUCUGAGAGGAGACUCUGUCCAGUUGGCUUGACAUGGCAGGUGAAUGGUGCUCAUGGCUGCCCCCGUCCUGGGUUAGAGGGUCCCAGCUGCCAGUGCAGUAAAGCAGUGCCCUAUUUGUCAUCUUUUCUUUCCGUGUAGUGAUUGAAAGGAAAAAUGAGUUAUGAUCCAGGUGUCUGAGUCCUGACCCUGUCCCUGCUUCUGACCCAGUUCUUGUGUUCUUGCCAUUUUCUUCUCCCUCCUUCCUGUUCUUUGCCUGGACCCCAGCGUUAUCUCUUUGCUGGUACCCAUGUUCUCUGCUCUCCCAAGUCCUACUACCCACCCUCGAGUGUGAUGUCAUUAACAGUGUCAUUCCACUUGCUGCUGGGACCUCUUGUCACCAGUGCAGGUGUCACACCUGCCAUUAUUAGACCUGGUUCCUUGGCCUUUGCCCACACUUCUGCAGACCCAGCCAAGUUAGACUUUAGUCUAAAAAACUGCUUCACUUUUUCAACCUCUGCCUCCCAUGGAAAUGCUACCUCCCCUCCCCUACUCCCAGGACCCAAGAUGAACUACAUCCUCAGCCCUUUUUAUUUUUUGCUUUGAAGCAAGAUCUCACUAAAUUGCUAAAUUGCCCAUGCCGAGCUCAAACUGCAGUCCUCCUACCUCAGUCUCCCAGAGUUGCUGGGAUUACAAGUGUUAGAACAAAAAUCCCAGAGCACAACUGCUGACAGCAGACAAAAGCAGGCUCCUUUGGGCUCAUGAAAAGAUUCAGGAGUAGAAAAGCAAUCAGAGGAGGAGAAUCAGAGGGGAACAAAAAGAAGUUUUGGUCCCAGCACUCAGGAGGCUGAGGCAAGAGGACUGAGAGAUCCAGGCCAGCCUGAGCUACAUAGCAAGACCUUCUAUCAAAAACUUUUUUAAAAAGCACAUUUAUGGGAGAUUAAAGAAGACAUUCAAGGGACAAUCUGGAGUCCAAGAAUACUGCUUUCAGAUGAAGUGCAAGAUUCAGGGAAAGAUACUGUGAUAAUAAUAUAAGCCAAUAUGUGAGAGUUUAGACCUUGAAAUAAAUGGAUUUUUCUCUUCAGUCCUGGAAUUGAACCCAGGACCUCUGUGUAAGGCUAUGCUGUACCACUGAGCUACAUCCUCAACCCAAAAUAGUUAUGAUUUUGGGGAGUUUAUUGGGGGGGGGGUUGAGACAGGGUCUCACUAUGUAGUCCAAGCUGGCCUCAAACUCACAGCGAUCCUCCUGCCUCAGCCUCCUGAGUGUUGGGAUUACAGACAUACACCACCAUGCCUGGCCAGUUUUUAAAAAUAAAAUACAAAUGACUAAAAUUGACUAAAAGAAAUGGAAAAUUUGGAUAGACCAACUAUUCAGGUAGAUCAAAUUAUGUGGAUAGGAAAGAGCCAUCAAAAGUCUAGGGCCAGGGAUUUAGCUCAGUGAUUCUGCUGCCUGCCUCGCAAGCGCAAGGUCCCAAGUUUGAUCCCUGGUACCAAAAAAAAAAAGUCAUACCCCCCAAAUUUCAGCUCCAGUUGAAUAAUGUGGAGAAUUUCCAGUAAAUCUUCAAGAAAGAUAAUAGGUAGUUUUACAAUCUAGAAUCUAGGGUAUGAG